GGAUGUGAGGGCGAUCUGGCUGUAACAUCUGUCACCUCAUUGAUUGCCAGGGUUAAUUCGACUGAUCUGGCUGGCUAGGUGGGUGUCUCCUUCCUCCCUCACCACUCCAUGUGCGUCCCUCCCAAAGCUACAUGCUCGGUCGAAGAGGACAACCAUCCCUGAUAGAGGAGGACUGCUCUUUGGUCAAGCAUAUAUGAGUAGCUGCGCUCCCCUGCUAGAACCUCCAAACAAGCUCUCAAAUUAGCAUUACAUUAGAAGCAUAUGGGGUCAUUGCGAUAAUUCCAUAGAUAGGCCCAAUGUUCUUUGAACAAGUUC
rnacentral:snRNA from 1 species